GUGACAUCCCAAGCCUUGUUGCUCAUCUCAAGGAUGAUCACAAUGUUGACAUGCAUGAUGGGUGUACCUUUAAUCAUCGAUAUGUCAAAUCAAAUCCUCAUGAAGUUGAAAAUGCCACAUGGAUGCUAACUGUCUUCAACUGUUUUGGAAGACAGUUCUGCUUGCAUUUUGAGGCGUUUCAGCUGGGUAUGGCACCAGUAUACAUGGCCUUUUUACGUUUUA
rnacentral:misc_RNA from 1 species